rnacentral:rRNA from 1 species
GAUGAACGCUGGCGGCGUGCCUAAUACAUGCAAGUCGAGCGAACAGACGAGGAGCUUGCUCCUCUGACGUUAGCGGCGGACGGGUGAGUAACACGUGGAUAACCUACCUAUAAGACUGGGAUAACUUCGGGAAACCGGAGCUAAUACCGGAUAAUAUAUUGAACCGCAUGGUUCAAUAGUGAAAGACGGUUUUGCUGUCACUUAUAGAUGGAUCCGCGCCGCAUUAGCUAGUUGGUAAGGUAACGGCUUACCAAGGCCACGAUGCGUAGCCGACCUGAGAGGGUGAUCGGCCACACUGGAACUGAGACACGGUCCAGACUCCUACGGGAGGCAGCAGUAGGGAAUCUUACGCAAUGGGCGAAAGCCUGACGGAGCAACGCCGCGUGAGUGAUGAAGGUCUUCGGAUCGUAAAACUCUGUUAUUAGGGAAGAACAAAUGUGUAAGUAACUAUGCACGUCAUGACGGUACCUAAUCAGAAAGCCACGGCUAACUACGUG